rnacentral:rRNA from 1 species
AACGAACGCUGGCGGCAGGCUUAACACAUGCAAGUCGAGCGCCCCGCAAGGGGAGCGGCAGACGGGUGAGUAACGCGUGGGAAUCUACCGUGCCCUGCGGAAUAACUCCGGGAAACUGGAACUAAUACCGCAUACGCCCCUUUAUGGAGACAUUUUGGGGGGAAAGAUUUAUCGGAAUUAGAUGAGCCCGCGUAAGAUUA